rnacentral:rRNA from 1 species
ACUCCUACGGGAGGCAGCAGUGGGGAAUAUUGGACAAUGGGCGAAAGCCUGAUCCAGCCAUGCCGCGUGUGUGAAGAAGGUCUUCGGAUUGUAAAGCACUUUAAGUUGGGAGGAAGGGUUGUAGAUUAAUACUCUGCAAUUUUGACGUUACCGACAGAAUAAGCACCGGCUAACUCUGUGCCAGCAGCCGCGGUAAUACAGAGGGUGCAAGCGUUAAUCGGAAUUACUGGGCGUAAAGCGCGCGUAGGUGGUUUGUUAAGUUGGAUGUGAAAUCCCCGGGGCUCAACCUGGGAACUGCAUUCAAAACUGACUGACUAGAGUAUGGUAGAGGGUGGUGGAAUUUCCUGUGUAGCGGUGAAAUGCGUAGAUAUAGGAAGGAACACCAGUGGCGAAGGCGACCACCUGGACUAAUACUGACACUGAGGUGCGAAAGCGUGGGGAGCAAACAGGAUUAGAUACCCU